UACGGAAGGGGCGAGCGUUAUUCGGAAUUAUUGGGCGUAAAGCGCGUGUAGGCGGCCAGGAAGGUCCGCUGUGAAAACUCGAGGCUCAACCUCGAGAUGUCGGCGGAAACCCUCUGGCUAGAGUCCGGAAGAGGAGAGUGGAAUUCCCGGUGUAGCGGUGAAAUGCGCAGAUAUCGGGAAGAACACCCGUGGCGAAGGCGGCUCUCUGGGACGGUACUGACGCUGAGACGCGAAAGCGUGGGGAGCGAACAGG
rnacentral:rRNA from 1 species